GAUCAUGGCUCAGGAUGAACGCUAGCUACAGGCUUAACACAUGCAAGUCGAGGGGAAACGACAUCGAAAGCUUGCUUUUGAUGGGCGUCGACCGGCGCACGGGUGAGUAACGCGUAUCCAACCUGCCCACCACGUUGGGGAUAACCUUGCGAAAGUAAGACUAAUACCCAAUGAUAUCUCUAGAAGACAUCUGAAAGAGAUUAAAGAUUCAUCGGUGAUGGAUGGGGAUGCGU
rnacentral:rRNA from 1 species